rnacentral:rRNA from 1 species
GCAAGUCGAGCGAAUGGAUUAAGAGCUUGCUCUUAUGAAGUUAGCGGCGGACGGGUGAGUAACACGUGGGUAACCUGCCCAUAAGACUGGGAUAACUCCGGGAAACCGGGGCUAAUACCGGAUAACAUUUUGAACCGCAUGGUUCGAAAUUGAAAGGCGGCUUCGGCUGUCACUUAUGGAUGGACCCGCGUCGCAUUAGCUAGUUGGUGAGGUAACGGCUCACCAAGGCAACGAUGCGUAGCCGACCUGAGAGGGUGAUCGGCCACACUGGGACUGAGACACGGCCCAGACUCCUACGGGAGGCAGCAGUAGGGAAUCUUCCGCAAUGGACGAAAGUCUGACGGAGCAACGCCGCGUGAGUGAUGAAGGCUUUCGGGUCGUAAAACUCUGUUGUUAGGGAAGAACAAGUGCUAGUUGAAUAAGCUGGCACCUUGACGGUACCUAACCAGAAAGCCACGGCUAACUACGUGCCAGCAGCCGCGGUAAUACGUAGGUGGCAAGCGUUAUCCGGAAUUAUUGGGCGUAAAGCGCGCGCAGGUGGUUUCUUAAGUCUGAUGUGAAAGCCCACGGCUCAACCGUGGAGGGUCAUUGGAAACUGGGAGACUUGAGUGCAGAAGAGGAAAGUGGAAUUCCAUGUGUAGCGGUGAAAUGCGUAGAGAUAUGGAGGAACACCAGUGGCGAAGGCGACUUUCUGGUCUGUAACUGACACUGAGGCGCGAAAGCGUGGGGGAGCAAACAGGAUUAGAUACCCUGGUAGUCCACGCCGUAAACGAUGAGUGCUAAGUGUUAGAGGGUUUCCGCCCUUUA